GACGGAGGGUGCAAGCGUUGUUCGGAAUUACUGGGCGUAAAGCGCGUGUAGGCGGCUUGCUAAGUCUGAUGUGAAAGCCCGGGGCUCACCCCCGGAAGUGCAUUGGAAACUGGCGAGCUCGAGUCCCGGAGAGGAGGGUGGAAUUCCUGGUGUAGCGGUGAAAUGCGUAGAUAUCAGGAGGAACACCGGUGGCGAAGGCGGCCCUCGGGACGGUGACUGACGCUGAGACGCGAAAGCGUGGGGAGCAAACAGG
rnacentral:rRNA from 1 species